rnacentral:rRNA from 1 species
CCUACGGGAGGCAGCAGUGGGGAAUAUUGCACAAUGCGCGCAAGCCUGAUGCAGCCAUGCCGCGUGUAUGAAGAAGGCCUUCGGGUUGUAAAGUACUUUCAGCGGGGAGGAAGGCGUUAAGGUUAAUAACCUUGGCGAUUGACGUUACCCGCAGAAGAAGCACCGGCUAACUCCGUGCCAGCAGCCGCGGUAAUA